CCUACGGGUGGCAGCAGUGAGGAAUAUUGGUCAAUGGGCGUAAGCCUGAACCAGCCAAGUCGCGUGAGGGAUGAAGGUUCUAUGGAUCGUAAACUUCUUUUAUAAGGGAAUAAAGUGUGGGACGUGUCCUGUUUUGUAUGUACCUUAUGAAUAAGGAUCGGCUAACUCCGUGCCAGCAGCCGCGGUAAUACGGAGGAUCCGAGCGUUAUCCGGAUUUAUUGGGUUUAAAGGGUGCGUAGAUGGGUUUUUAAGUCAGUGGUGAAAGUGUGUGGCUCAACCAUAGAAUUGCAGUUGAUACUGGGAGGCUUGAGUAUAGUUGAGGCAGGCGGAAUGCGUGGUGUAGCGGUGAAAUGCUUAGAUAUCACGAAGAACCCCGAUUGCGAAGGCAGCUUACUAAGCUAUGACUGACACUGAUGCACGAAAGCGUGGGGAUCAAACAGGAUUAGAUACCCUUGUAGUC
rnacentral:rRNA from 1 species